rnacentral:rRNA from 1 species
GACGAACGCUGGCGGCGUGCUUAACACAUGCAAGUCGAACGCGCCUGUCCUCUGGGUUUCUGGGGGGUGGGUGAGUGGCGAACGGGUGAGUAACACGUGAGUAACCUGCCCCCUUCUUCGGGAUAACGGUCUGAAAGGGCUGCUAAUACCGGGUAUUCACUGGUCUCCGCAUGGGGUCUGGUGGAAAGGUUUUUUUCUGGUGGGGGAUGGGCUCGCGGCCUAUCAGCUUGUUGGUGGGGUGAUGGCCCACCAAGGCUUUGACGGGUAGCCGGCCUGAGAGGGUGACCGGUGACAUUGGGACUGAGAUACGGCCCAGACUCCUACGGGAGGCAGCAGUGGGGAAUAUUGCACAAUGGGCGCAAGCCUGAUGCAGCGACGCCGCGUGAGGGAUGGAGGCCUUCGGGUUGUGAACCUCUUUCGCCCGUGGUCAAGCCGCGACGUGGGUCGUGGUGAGGGUAGUGGGUAAAGAAGCGCCGGCUAACUACGUG